UACAAAUGCAAAGCAAAAAAUUUACAUAAAUUGUUAUUGAGAAAAGCCGGCAAUGGCCAGGCCCAAUUGAUCUGCGACUGUACUUGCCUUAAUUCUUUAGACUCACUAACACAGACGCACGUGUAUUAACGGAACUCAAUUGUAAUUAAGCUUGCAUAAAUUAAGGUUUGAAGCUGACGCGACUCAGACUGUAACGUCACGUACUACCUUACCAUGAAGUCCGGAUUUGAUGACGAUUCGAGUAAGCGAAACGAGACAAAACGAAACGCUUUGAAAUUGAAGGCGAACCUUAGGCAAUGUCCAGCAUUGGCCUCAAAGAUGAAUUGGGUGAGAUUGGGCCAAAAAUACAGAUAUAAAUUGAGAAAAAAAAA